rnacentral:misc_RNA from 1 species
AAAAAAAAAAAAAAAGGCCAUUUCGCCCAAGUUAGAUAGGUAGACUCUGACCACAGUUACAUAAGGAUAAGCCCACAAGGGUUCGAUCAGAAGGGCUAAGGGAGUCCAGGGAGGGUUUGUUAAUUCUCUAGUUGGGAAAAAAGUGAUUUGAGAAAAGGAACGGGAAAGUUAGAAAAAUAGGUGUGAGAAAAGGACAAGAGAUUUAAAUUUUUUCUUUGUUUGGAUGGGUUAUAUAGAU